rnacentral:rRNA from 1 species
AGAGUUUGAUCCUGGCUCAGGAUGAACGUUGGCUGUGUGCCUAAGGUAUGCAAGUCGAACGAACCCUUUGAAACUUCGGUUGAUGUGGGUUAGUGGCAAACGGGUGAGUAACACGUGGAUAACCUGCCUUGAAGUCAUGAACAGCUCAUCGAAAGAUGGGAUAAUACAUGAUAGUCUUACAUCUUCUUUAGAUCUUGUAAGUAAAGUUACGGCGCUUCAAGAGGGGUCCGCGUCCUAUCAGCUAGUUGGUGAGGUAAUAGCUCACCAAGGCUAAGACGGGUAGCUGGCGUGAGAGCGCGGUCAGCCACCAUGGAACUGAGACACGGUCCAUACUCCUACGGGAGGCAGCAAUUAGGAAUCUUGCGCAAUGGGGGCAACCCUGACGCAGCGACACAGCGUGGAGGAAGAAGGUCUUCGGAUUGUAAACUCCUUUUAUAUGGGAAGAAUAGAUGACGGUACCAUAUGAAUAAGCACCUGCUAACUACGUGCCAGAAGCAUCGGUAAUGCGUAGGGUGCAAACGUUAUCCGGAUUUAUUGGGUGUAUAGAGAGCGUAGGCGUUUUUGUAAGUCUUUAGUUAAAGACCACGGCUCAACCGUGGAAGAGCUUCGGAUACUGCAAAAAUUGAGACAGGAAGAGGCGAACAGAAUUUCCAGUGGAGCGGUGAAAUGCGUUGAUACUGGGAGGAAUAUCAGUGGCGAAGGCGGUUCGCUGUCCUUGUCUGACGCUAAGGCUCGAAGCGUGGGUAGCAAAACGGAUUAGAUACCCGUGUAGUCCACGCUGUAAACUAUGGAUGCUAGGUGUUCGGUAUAUUCGAGUAUUGAGUGCCGCAGUUAACACGUUAAGCAUCCCACCUGGGAAGUACGGCCGCAAGGCUAAAACUCAAAUGAAUUGGCGGGGACCCGCACAAGCGGAGGAGCGCGUGGUUUAAUUCGACGGCAAUCGAAGAACCUUACCAGGGUUUGACAUGUAUCGCAUGCCCCCAGAAACGGGGGAGCCUUAGGGGUGAUACACAGGUGCUGCAUGGCCGCCGUCAGCUCGUGUCGUGAGAUGUAGGGUUAGGUCCCGAAACGAGCGCAACCCCUAUCCUAUGUUACAAGUGUCUUAGGAAACUGCCUCGGUAAACGAGGAGGAAGGUGGGGAUGACGUCUGGUCCGCAUAGCCCUUAUGUCCUGGGCUACACACGCGCUACAAUGGCCGAUACAGUAGGGUGCCAAAUCGUAAGAUGGAGCAAAUCCCAAAGUCGGUCUCAGUUCGAAUUGAGGUCUGAAACUCGACCUCAUGAAGUUGGAUUCGCUAGUAAUCGUAAAUCAGCCAUGCUACGGUGAAUACGUUCUCGGUUCUGCACUUCACCCCCUC